rnacentral:rRNA from 1 species
UACAGAGGUCUCAAGCGUUGUUCGGAUUCAUUGGGCGUAAAGGGUGCGUAGGUGGCGCGGUAAGUCGGGUGUGAAAUCUCGGAGCUUAACUCCGAAAUUGCAUUCGAUACUGCCGUGCUCGAGGACUGGAGAGGAGACUGGAAUUCAUGGUGUAGCAGUGAAAUGCGUAGAGAUCAUGAGGAAGACCAGUGGCGAAGGCGGGUCUCUGGACAGUUCCUGACACUGAGGCACGAAGACCAGGGGAGCAAACGGG